rnacentral:rRNA from 1 species
GCUACACAUGCAGUCGAGCGGCAGCGGRAAGUAGCUUGCUACUUUGCCGGCGAGCGGCGGACGGGUGAGUAAUGUCUGGGAAACUGCCUGAUGGAGGGGGAUAACUACUGGAAACGGUAGCUAAUACCGCAUGACCUCGCAAGAGCAAAGUGGGGGACCUUCGGGCCUCACGCCAUCGGAUGUGCCCAGAUGGGAUUAGCUAGUAGGUGAGGUAAUGGCUCACCUAGGCGACGAUCCCUAGCUGGUCUGAGAGGAUGACCAGCCACACUGGAACUGAGACACGGUCCAGACUCCUACGGGAGGCAGCAGUGGGGAAUAUUGCACAAUGGGCGCAAGCCUGAUGCAGCCAUGCCGCGUGUGUGAAGAAGGCCUUAGGGUUGUAAAGCACUUUCAGCGAGGAGGAAGGGUUCAGUGUUAAUAGCACUGAACAUUGACGUUACUCGCAGAAGAAGCACCGGCUAACUCCGUGCCAGCAGCCGCGGUAAUACGGAGGGUGCAAGCGUUAAUCGGAAUUACUGGGCGUAAAGCGCACGCAGGCGGUUUGUUAAGUCAGAUGUGAAAUCCCCGAGCUUAACUUGGGAACUGCAUUUGAACUGGCAAGCUAGAGUCUUGUAGAGGGGGGUAGAAUUCCAGGUGUAGCGGUGAAUGCGUAGAGAUCUGGAGGAAUACCGGUGGCGAA